rnacentral:rRNA from 1 species
CCUACGGGGGGCAGCAGUGGGGAAUAUUGCGCAAUGGGGGAAACCCUGACGCAGCAACGCCGCGUGAGUGAAGACGUAUCUCGGUAUGUAAAGCUCUAUCAGCGGGGAAGAAGGAAGACGGUACCCGACUAAGAAGCCCCGGCUAACUACGUGCCAGCAGCCGCGGUAAUACGUAGGGGGCAAGCGUUAUCCGGAAUUACUGGGUGUAAAGGGUGAGUAGGCGGCAUGGUAAGCCAGAUGUGAAAGCCUUGGGCUUAACCCGAGGAUU